GUUGAGAGCAUCACUCUGACACUGAACAUGAACAUUUCUCCAGUUGCAGUGACUGUGAUUCUGCUGUUCAUGCUUGGGAUGAGGAAGACCCAUGGAGAUUCAGUGACCCAGAAACAAGGUCAAGUGACCCUCUCAGAAGAUGACUUUCUAUUUAUAAAUUGCACUUAUUCAACCACAGGGUACCCAACUCUUUUCUGGUAUGUCCAAUAUCCUGGACAAGGUCUACAGCUCCUUCUGCAAGUCACAACAGCCAACAACAAGGGAAGCAGCAGAGGUUUUGAAGCUACAUAUGAUAAAGGGACCACCUCCUUCCACUUGCAGAAAGCCUCGGUGCAGGAGUCAGACUCGGCUGUGUACUACUGUGGUCUGAGAGACACAGUGGCAGAAACCACAGUGGGAGCUGAGCACAAACUCUGA